CCUACGGGAGGCAGCAGUGGGGAAUAUUGCACAAUGGGGGGAACCCUGAUGCAGCGACGCCGCGUGCGGGAUGACGGCCUUCGGGUUGUAAACCGCUUUUAUUGGGGAGCAAGCGUGAGUGAGUGUACCUUUUGAAUAAGCACCGGCUAACUACGUGCCAGCAGCCGCGGUAAUACGUAGGGUGCAAGCGUUGUCCGGAAUUAUUGGGCGUAAAGAGCUCGUAGGCGGUUUGUCGCGUCUGGUGUGAAAGUCCAUCGCUUAACGGUGGAUUGGCGCUGGGUACGGGCAGGCUAGAGUGUAGUAGGGGAGACUGGAAUUCUCGGUGUAACGGUGGAAUGUGUAGAUAUCGGGAAGAACACCAAUGGCGAAGGCAGGUCUCUGGGCUAUUACUGACGCUGAGGAGCGAAAGCGUGGGGAGCGAACAGGAUUAGAUACCCUGGUAGUC
rnacentral:rRNA from 1 species